GAGUACAGUGGCGGACGGGUGAGUAACGUAUGGACAAUCUACCCUCGAGAUGGGGAUAACAGCUGGAAACGGCUGCUAAUACCCAGUGGCUCCGGUAGCGGUAUUCCGCGGCCGGAUAAAGGGGGGCGACUCCCGCUCGGGGACGAGUCCAUAUCCCAUCAGCUGGUUGGCGGGGUAAUGGCCCACCAAGGCAAUGACGGGUAGGCGGACUGAGAGGUCGACCGCCCACAUCGGGACUGAGACACUGCCCGGACUCCUACGGGAGGCUGCAGUCGAGAAUCUUCCGCAAUGGGCGCAAGCCUGACGGAGCGACGCCGCGUGUAGGAUGAAGGCCCUCGGGUUGUAAACUACUGUCACUCGUGAAGAACGUCCAUUCCAAUCAAGUAGACUGACGUUAACGAGAGAGGAAGUCACGGCUAACUUCGUGCCAGCAGCCGCGGUAAGACGAAGGUGGCAACCGUUGCUCGGAUUCACUGGGCAUAAAGCGCGCGUAGGUGGCUUUGCAGGUCAUCGGUGAAAAACCCCGGCACAACCGGGAAACUGCCGAUGAAACCGCAUUGCUUGAGGUCGGGAGAGGAGAGUGGAACUCUUGGUGUAGCGGUGAAGUGCGUAGAUAUCAAGAGGAACGCCGGUGGCGAAAGCGGCUCUCUGGACCGAUCCUGACACUGA
rnacentral:rRNA from 1 species